CCGCUAUUCAUUCGGUUACGGCCCUGCUACGACCCUCCUGCCUGGGGAAGACUUCCAUCUGCUACCCACCUGCCGGAUGAAAAGGCGAUUCCUUUGUUCUGCUUUGAGCCGAGAACCUUCCGGCUUCAGGCUUCAGCCCCUGACCUCCGAGAGCAAGGGAUUGCAAAACCGAACGUUUCUCUCCCCACUUCGUCCAGUUUAAAAAUCGCCGCAGAAGAGCGGAGCCAAAUGAGUCGUGUUUUAACAUGCAGAGCGAUUUCUCAUCCCAAUAAUUGGUACAUUGUCAUCUAAAAUUGCACCGAGGAUGAUCACAAUUAGUGAAACGAAGGCAGCGCUGAUGCGUGUCGGGUUCUUAUCUGUCCUGCCUGGCUGUCCAUCACAUCCCAGAUUGCAGAUGGCAGGCAGCCGAUGGAAGACACGCUUCCUGCGUGGAAGCGUGACUCAGUAUUAAACGCUCCUCCUUGCUCAA